rnacentral:rRNA from 1 species
CUACGGGAGGCUGCAGUGGGGAAUAUUGGACAAUGGGCGAAAGCCUGAUCCAGCCAUGCCGCGUGUGUGAAGAAGGCCUUCGGGUUGUAAAGCACUUUCAGUGGGGAAGAAAGCCUUGGGGCUAAUACCCUCGAGGAAGGACAUCACCCACAGAAGAAGCACCGGCUAACUCCGUGCCAGCAGCCGCGGUAAUACGGAGGGUGCGAGCGUUAAUCGGAAUUACUGGGCGUAAAGCGCGCGUAGGCGGUCUGAUAAGCCGGUUGUGAAAGCCCCGGGCUCAACCUGGGAACGGCAUCCGGAACUGUCAGGAUAGAGUGCAGGAGAGGAAGGUAGAAUUCCCGGUGUAGCGGUGAAAUGCGUAGAGAUCGGGAGGAAUACCAGUGGCGAAGGCGGCCUUCUGGACUGACACUGACGCUGAGGUGCGAAAGCGUGGGUAGCAAACAGGAUUAGAUACCCUAGUAGUC